UUUGGGAUGCCAACUUUAAGAAGCCCUUUCUCUUGUGCAUGUGAGAUGAGAUUUCACCGAGAGAAAGAGUGGAAAAUCUGGGCAUGAGGUUUUGGGUGGGCGUGCGUUCCUUGGCAUGUGAGAUAGAGGAGAGACGGCUCCUCUUGGGUGAGUGACCUAGAUUCUGAUCUAGGGUUUUGGGUGAGUAAAAAAAUGUUGCUCCUUAGAUUGAUUUUAAUGAUUACAAAGCAUUUGAAGGGGUUACUAAUGAUUUUCUCUUGAAAAAGACUUAUUGCAUUUCAGGGGCAAAAUCAU
rnacentral:lncRNA from 1 species